UACAGAGGGUGCUAACGUUGUUCGGAAUCACUGGGCAUAAAGCGCACGUAGGCGGCUUAGUAAGUGCGGUGUGAAAGCCCCCGGCCCAACCGGGGAACUGCAUCGCAGACUGCUAGGCUAGAGAGCGGGAGGGGAGACUGGAACUCCUGGUGGAGCGGUGAAAUGCGUAGAUAUCAGGAGGAACACCGGUGGUGAAAACGAGUCUCUGGUCCGCUUCUGACGCUCAGGUGCGAAAGCUAGGGGAGCAAACGGG
rnacentral:rRNA from 1 species